rnacentral:rRNA from 1 species
AUUGAACGCUGGCGGCAUGCCUUACACAUGCAAGUCGAACGGCAGCAUGAUCUAGCUUGCUCGAUUGAUGGCGAGUGGCGAACGGGUGAGUAAUACAUCGGAACGUGCCCUGUAGUGGGGGAUAACUAGUCGAAAGAUUAGCUAAUACCGCAUACGACCUGAGGGUGAAAGUGGGGGACCGCAAGGCCUCAUGCUAUAGGAGCGGCCGAUGUCUGAUUAGCUAGUUGGUGAGGUAAAGGCUCACCAAGGCGACGAUCAGUAGCUGGUCUGAGAGGACGAUCAGCCACACUGGGACUGAGACACGGCCCAGACUCCUACGGGAGGCAGCAGUGGGGAAUUUUGGACAAUGGGCGAAAGCCUGGUCCAGCAAUGCCGCGUGUGUGAAGAAGGCCUUCGGGUUGUAAAGCACUUUUGUCCGGAAAGAAAUGGCUCUGGUUAAUACCUGGGGUCGAUGACGGUACCGGAAGAAUAAGGACCGGCUAACUACGUG